rnacentral:lncRNA from 1 species
GCUGCUUUAAAGUUUUGAAACUACUGGACUAAAUCAGAGGUUCUCAACCAGAGGCAGUUUUGCCUCAUUCCCCUUGGGGACAUACGCUAGUGUCUGGAGAUAUUCUUGAUUGUCACAACUGUAGGAGGGUGCUACUGGCAUCUAGUGAGUGGAGGCCAGAGAUGCUGCAAAACAUCCUACAAUGCACAGGUCAGCUCCUUACAGCAAAGAAUUAUCCAGUCCUAAAUGUCAAUAGUGCCAAGGUUGAGACAACCUGGAUUGGAUAUUUCCCGGCUCCCACCCUUGUUCUCCUUAAGAACUUUGGUUCCUGCUUGCUUCUCUGACUAUUCCUACUUGAGACAAGAAGAAUGCAGCAUUUGAGUUCUUGCCUUGGACCAAAUCUGGGCACCAACCAGCUUGGCCGCUGCCCCAGCUGGGCUGGCUCCAGGCCCACCAGGAAGGGCACGUGGAUGGUCUCAUGCUUCCCCACUUCCCUUUAAUGCUUUGUUAACAUUUGAAUUACAACACUCACUACAGAAACUACAGCAAGUUGUAAACAUGUCCCCCCACCCCAAGGGGCCAGGGCCAUACUUUAUUCAUCUCUGUUUUUUCCACAGCACCAAGCUCUGUGCAGUUGAACUGGGUAGGUGUUCGAUAGACAUUCAUUGCAUCAAAUAGAUUAAUAUCACUUUAAUUUUUAUCAUGCAUCUGGGCAUCUCUUUGAAAGGUCAUGGAUGUAGAGAAUAUAAAUGCCCGUUAAAGCAAGAGCUCUUGUGUUUCUGUUCCUGUGGAGUGCAGCUGAAAUGACCGCUACUGCUCCUUCACAGUAUAUUUACAUGAGCUUCCUGUGGACAUCAGCACCAUUUAAAAUUAAGGCUGGAACACAGAUGUGGGGCUGGAAGUGGAGCAGCCCCUUUUAGCCAUGAGGCCCAAAGCCACAUGCUAAGGAUGGUGAAGCAGGGGAUAGAAAGAGCCUGUGUCUUUGCUGACUUCCUUAAGCCACGGCACCAGCCUGGGCCUGCCCUACUCUGGACAUCUAAAUGUCAGGAGCUAAGAAUCAAGUCAGUCUAGAGGUGUUCGUUGCCAUGUGGAGAGAUCCUUCCCAAGAAGAAAGAUGCUACAAAGUGUCCUGGAAAUCCUCUUUGCCCAUCCAGAUCCACCCUCCCUAGCCUGCUCUGUACCUCAGGAAGCUGCUUUUCAUGGUUCACAUAAACCAGGCUCCUGUACCCUCCAGAUAGGUCCAUCCUAUGGGUGGUACCAGCAGGAGACCAGAGAGAUGAAGGAGGGAAAAAAAGAACAUUAGGGGUUGAAUUGUAUCACCCCAAAAUUCAUAUGGUGAAGUAUAACCCCUUCGGAAUGUAACCUUAUUGGAAAUGUCAGAGGCACGUGAACCAGAGCAACUCCAUCUUGAAUAGGGGCUGGGUAAAAUGAGGCUGA